rnacentral:tRNA from 1 species
GUCCCCGUAGCUCAGUAGGAUAGAGCGCAGGAUUCCUAAUCCUGAGGCCGCGCGUUCGAAUCGCGCCGGGGACGCCA